AGCCUAGUUCUAGCCCUACCAACAUCUGCAAAAUUCCAUCCCACCUAACCAAAACAUUUCACACACCUAGUAUAGGCGAUAGAAUAGAAUUCCCCCCACCGAGCAGGCACAAUAGAGACACGUACCGUAAGGGAAAGAUGAAAUAAUAAUGAAAACCCGAGCAUAACACAGCAAAGAUUAACCCUUGUACCUUUUGCAUCAUGAUUCAGCAAGAACAACCAAGCAAAACGAACUUAAGCUUGCCACCCCGAAACCCAAGCGAGCUACUCACAAGCAGCUAUACAUUGAGCAAACCCGUCUCUGUCGCAAAAGAGUGGGAUGACUUGUUAGUAGAGGUGAAAAGCCAAUCGAGCUGGGUGAUAGCUGGUUGCCUGUGAAAUGAAUCUAAGUUCUACUCUGACAGCUCCUACACUACCUCCCCUCCAAUAAAUUCUGCAGUCACUCAGAAGCAACUUAAAGGGGGUACAGCCCCUUUAAAAAAGAACACAACCUCCCAUAGCGGAUAACCCUUAAACCCCACUACAAAUGUAGGCCUUCAAGCAGCCACCAUCUAGGAAUGCGUCAAAGCUCAGGUACCAGAAAGUAUAUAAAAACAAUGCGAAUCCCUACACCUAUAACAGGCCAACCUAUCAUACAUAGGAGAAUUCAUGCUGAAAUAAGUAACUAGGGGCCCCCCCUCACAAGCGCGAACUUACAUGCCCUCAUUAUUACCCAAAAGCAAAUACACCCACCCCCACAAGAACUAGUACUCCCCCUCACCCCGUUAAGCCAACUCAGGAGCGCCCAACAUGAAAGAUUCCAAUCUGUAGAAGGAACUAGGCAAAUCCGGGGCCCGACUGUUUACCAAAAACAUAGCCUUCAGCCCACCAAGUAUUGAAGGUGAUGCCUGCCCAGUGACACCCAGUUCAACGGCCGCGGUAUCCUAACCGUGCGAAGGUAGCGCAAUCAAUUGUUUCAUAAAUCGAGAUUUGUAUGAAUGGCUAAACGAGGUCUUGACUGUCUCCUACAGAUAAUCAGUGAAAUUGAUCUCCCCGUGCGAAAGCGAGGAUAACAACAUGAGACGAGAAGACCCUGUGGAACUUCAAAAUCAGCAGCCACACCCUACAACCUUCACAGACCUACCAGGCCUUCCACCCAAACCCACCUCACUGGCUAGCAUUUUUCGGCUGGGGCGGCCCUGGAGAAAAACAAACCCUCCAGAAACAAGACCCUCCUCUUGACCUAGAACAACCUCUCAACGUGCUAACAGCAACCAGACCCAGUACAUCUGAUCAAUGAACCAAGCUACCCCAGGGAUAACAGCGCAAUCCCCUUCAAGAGCCCAUAUCGACAAGGGGGUUUACGACCUCGAUGUUGGAUCAGGACACCCUAAUGGUGCAGCCGCUAUUAAGGGUUCGUUUGUUCAACGAUUAACAGUCCUACGUGAUCUGAGUUCAGACCGGAGCAAUCCAGGUCGGUUUCUAUUUAUGACAGACUUUCCCCAGUACGAAAGGACCGGGAAAGUAAGGCCUAUACCCCAAACACGCCUUCCUCUCCAAGUACUGAACCCAACUAAACAACCUAAAGAGCUCUCAACAAACAUCCCAAAAAAGGACC
rnacentral:rRNA from 1 species